ACUCCUACGGGAGGCAGCAGUGGGGAAUAUUGCACAAUGGGCGCAAGCCUGAUGCAGCCAUGCCGCGUGUAUGAAGAAGGCCUUCGGGUUGUAAAGUACUUUCAGCAGUGAGGAAGGUGGGUAUGUUAAUAGCAUAUCAUUUGACGUUAGCUGCAGAAGAAGCACCGGCUAACUCCGUGCCAGCAGCCGCGGUAAUACGGAGGGUGCGAGCGUUAAUCGGAAUUACUGGGCGUAAAGCGCAUGCAGGUGGUUUGUUAAGUCAGAUGUGAAAGCCCGGGGCUCAACCUCGGAAUUGCAUUUGAAACUGGCAAACUAGAGUACUGUAGAGGGGGGUAGAAUUUCAGGUGUAGCGGUGAAAUGCGUAGAGAUCUGAAGGAAUACCGGUGGCGAAGGCGGCCCCCUGGACAGAUACUGACACUCAGAUGCGAAAAGCGUGGGGAGCAAACAGGAUUAGAUACCCUGGUAGGCGU
rnacentral:rRNA from 1 species